GUGCUCGCUUCGGCAGCACGUAUACUAAAAUUGGAACGAUACGGAGAAGAUUAGCAUGGCCCCUGUGCAAAUUCGUGAAGCGUUCCAUAAAAAAAAAGAGCAAAAAAAA
ensembl:snRNA U6 U6 spliceosomal RNA